GAGUUUGAUCAUGGCUCAGAACGAACGCUGGCGGCAGGCCUAACACAUGCAAGUCGAACGAUCCUUCGGGAUAGUGGCAGACGGGUGAGUAACGCGUGGGAACCUUCCCUGUGGUACGGAAUAGCUCCGGGAAACUGGAAUUAAUACCGUAUACGCCCUUCGGGGGAAAGAUUUAUCGCCAUAGGAUGGGCCCGCGUCGGAUUAGCUUGUUGGUGAGGUAAUGGCUCACCAAGGCUCCGAUCCGUAGCUGGUCUUAGAGGAUGAUCAGCCACACUGGGACUGAGACACGGCCCAGACUCCUACGGGAGGCAGCAGUGGGGAAUAUUGGACAAUGGGCGAAAGCCUGAUCCAGCCAUGCCGCGUGAGUGACGAAGGCCUUAGGGUUGUAAAGCUCUUUUGGCGGGGACGAUAAUGACGGUACCCGCAGAAUAAGCCCCGGCUAACUUCGUGCCAGCAGCCGCGGUAAUACGAAGGGGGCUAGCGUUGUUCGGAAUCACUGGGCGUAAAGCGCACGUAGCUGACUGGUCAGUUGGGGGUGAAAUCCCGGGGCUCAACCUCGGAACUGCCUUCAAUACUGCCAGUCUUGAG
rnacentral:rRNA from 1 species